AGCCCCCGGAGCUGGAGUUGUGUGUUGCCUAACAUGGGUGUUGGGAACCAGACUUUGGCCUGUGCAAGAGCAAUACAAACUCAUACCAGCUGGCGUUUGUGCACCAGCUUGACCCACGCUAGAGCCAUCUGAGAGGAAAUGCCUCCAUGAGAUCCAGCUACUCUUGGUAAAACGCGCCCGGACAAGCUCAGAUUCAAAUCCCACAACAUGAAUGUGGAUGGCGAUCAGCAAUGGUCUCACGCUCUGUGGUUGUGCCUUCAGCAGUACUGUGGAUCUUGCGAAGAGAAAAGAAACCCCAGAGCACUCUUUCACACCUUCCACUGUGAAGACACAGCCAGACUGACCCUUGAUGACAGACAUUGAGCCCUGG